ACCGGUCUCUUGACCUCAGGGACCGGUCCCUGAACACAGAAAAGUUCAGUAAAAUAUUUUUAAAACAAUCUAAGCCUUCUGAACUUAUUCUAAUCAAAUAUCUUCACCACAAAUGAUCUUUUCCUCAUAUCUUAGGUGCCGAACUUUACGAGUGAGUCUUUUUCCUUCAAUUUAGAUCUUUUCUUCAAUCUUCCGCAAUCAACUCUUUAAGACUCCAUUCAACAUUACGAAAUCCGCCAACCUAUAAAAUUCUUAACACUUGGACAAGGAAUGGGACUCAUGGUGAGCAUGAAAUGGUGAAGUGACUCUCAAGGCUAUGGAUAGGAGAUUGCGAGAGUUGAGCCAUGAUGUUCGAGGAUGCCCGAAGGAUUCGGGAGUUGAGGAUGUAUUUUGGUAGAUCGAACAGUAAGGGUGAACCACUGUUGUGAAAUUGGUUGAUUAGCGCCAAGUUUGGCAUGUGGG
rnacentral:lncRNA from 1 species